rnacentral:RNase_P_RNA from 1 species
CCAGCUGGCCGGGCGGCCGCACCCGCAACAGUCGAAAGGCUGCGGGUGAGGAAAGUCCGGGCUCCAUGGAAACACGGUGCCGGUUAAUGGCCGGCGGGGGCGACCCCAGGGAAAGUGCCACAGAAAGCAAACCGCCGCGGCCGUCCUUCGGGACGGGGCGCGGCAAGGGUGAAAGGGUGGGGUAAGAGCCCACCGCGCGCCUGGCAACAGGGGCGGCACGGCAAACCCCACCGGGAGCAAAACCGAAUAGGGGCGGUAGAGGGGCAACCCUCAGGGCUGUUUCCGGUCCACCGUCCGGGUAGGUUGCAUGAGACCGAUGGCAACAUCGGUCCAAGACGAAUGGCCGCCACGUUCCCGCCGCCGCAAGGCGACGGGGGCCAUACAGAACCCGGCUUACAGGCCAGCUGGCAAU